rnacentral:rRNA from 1 species
AUGGCCACUCCGACGGCAGCCGCCGACACCGCCGCCGCCCCGCUGACUCCAGUUGCCCCGGAGCCCGCGGCGAAAGUCUCUCUUGCCCCUUCUGAUAUGGUUGCUCCGACCGCAGCAGCCGACACCUCCGCCCCGCCGCCGCCUGCACCAGUCCCUCCGACCGCAGCCGCCGACACCGCCGCGCCGCCGCCGCCAGCUCCAGCCCCUUCAACCGCAGCAGCCGACACCGCCGCUCCGCCACCACCUCCUCCUCCAAUAACGACGGAGCCUGCGGCCAAGGUCUCUCAUAGUCCUUACCACAUGGCCGCCCCGACGGCAACCGCCGAGACCGUCGGUCGGCCAAUUCCUCCUCCUCCAGCCCCGGAAAUCGCGGCCAAGGUCUCCCAUUUCCCCCCUCCUUUUCCUCCUCAGCCCGAUGCGCCUGCGCCGAAAAGGCGGAAGCUGGAGGAGGCGGGGUUCCACACUUCCGCCUACUACAAGAUCCGGGCCGCCGUUGCCGACCUCCGCCUCCGCUUCGUCCAGGUUCACGAAGCUACUGAUUUUCGGAAGAGCGAUGCUGCUCGCGAGAUUCUGAGAGAGAUAAAGACAGUUAUGGAACUCUCCAAGAAAAUGAGGCUUGAUCUCGGUGUCUCUUCUGAAUCCAUGAAACCGUCAGAGAAGCCUUUAGCUGGAGCUGUGAAGGACGAGCCCACAGAGCCAAUUCCAUCUGCAGAAAGAAAUCAAGUUCCUCCUACAGGUCAGCCUGCAGUUCCUCCUAAUAUUGCAAAUGAUGGUGCACCGGCCACCCAAGCCUGA